rnacentral:ncRNA from 1 species
AAAAUAUUUAAUUAUGGUAUAGAAUAUGUAUAUAUAUUCAAAAUUUAUAUGAAUUUCGUUUUAAAUUUUAUUUUAGUAGUGUGUAAAUUUAAUUAUUAAAUAAUUUUAGAAUUAGUGAUAAAUUUUAGUAUUUGCGAAUUUUGUGCCAGCAGCAGCGGUUAUACAAAAGAUACAAUAUAUAUAUAUUAGUUUUAAUUAGUAGAAUUAUAGAAAUUAAAUUAAAAUUUAAAUUUUAAGGUGAAAUUUUAAUUUUAAAUAAGUUUAAAAAUAAUGAUUAUGAAGUUAGGAAAUUUUUUUUUUAAACUAGGAUUAGAUACCCUAUUAUUUAAAAUGUAAAUUAUUAAGCUAAGUGAUUAAUAGUUAAGUUCUUUAAAGCUAAAUGAUUUGGCGGUACUUUAAACUUUUCAGAGGAACCUGUUCUAUAAGCGAUAGUCCACGAUUAAAUUAACUUUAAUUAGAAAUUUUCAUAUCGUUGUUAUUAAAUAUUUUAUAAGAAUAAAAUAUUUAAGAUUUCUUUAUAAAGAAAUAAAUCAAAUCAAGGUGAAGUUUAUAUUAAAGAAGAUAUGGGUUACAAUAAAUUUUAUUUUUGGAUUAUUAAUUUGUAAAAUUUUAUGAAAUUGGAUUUGAAAGUAAUUAAUUAAUAUAUUUUUUUAAUGAUUAAGCUCUAAAUUAUGUACAUAUUGCCCGUCACUUUCAUUUAAAAUGGAAUAAGUCGUAACAUAGUAGAUUUACUGGAAAGUGAUUCUAGAAUGU